rfam:Dipodomys ordii contig_13998, whole genome shotgun sequence.
UGGAAGGUGGCUCAGUGGUAGAGCGCUUGCCUUGCAUGCAUGAUGCCCUGGGUUCCAUUUCUCAGCAUCACAU